AACCCAGUGUGUUUCGACACACUAUCAUUAACUGAAUCCAUAGGUUAAUGAGGCGAACCGGGGGAACUGAAACAUCUAAGUACCCCGAGGAAAAGAAAUCAACCGAGAUUCCCCCAGUAGCGGCGAGCGAACGGGGAGCAGCCCAGAGCCUGAAUCAGUGUGUGUGUUAGUGGAAGCGUCUGGAAAGGCGCGCGAUACAGGGUGACAGCCCCGUACACAAAAAUGCACAUGCUGUGAGCUCGAUGAGUAGGGCGGGACACGUGGUAUCCUGUCUGAAUAUGGGGGGACCAUCCUCCAAGGCUAAAUACUCCUGACUGACCGAUAGUGAACCAGUACCGUGAGGGAAAGGCGAAAAGAACCCCGGCGAGGGGAGUGAAAAAGAACCUGAAACCGU
rnacentral:rRNA from 1 species